GGGAGGCAGCAGUGGGGAAUAUUGGACAAUGGGCGAAAGCCUGAUCCAGCCAUGCCGCGUGAGUGAUGAAGGCCUUAGGGUUGUAAAGCUCUUUCAGUGGGGAAGAUAAUGACGGUACCCACAGAAGAAGCCCCGGCUAACUUCGUGCCAGCAGCCGCGGUAAUACGAAGGGGGCUAGCGUUGCUCGGAAUCACUGGGCGUAAAGGGCGCGUAGGCGGACUCUUAAGUCGGAGGUGAAAGCCCAGGGCUCAACCCUGGAAUUGCCUUCGAUACUGGGAGUCUUGAGUUCGGAAGAGGUUGGUGGAACUGCGAGUGUAGAGGUGAAAUUCGUAGAU
rnacentral:rRNA from 1 species